rnacentral:rRNA from 1 species
CAGUCGCCGCGGGAAUACGAGGGGAGCUAGCGUUAUUCGGAAUUACUGGGCGUAAAGCGCACGUAGGCGGCUUUGUAAGUUAGAGGUGAAAGCCCAGAGCUCAACUCUGGAAUUGCCUUUAAGACUGCAUCGCUUGAAUCCAGGAGAGGUGAGUGGAAUUCCGAGUGUAGAGGUGAAAUUCGUAGAUAUUCGGAAGAACACCAGUGGCGAAGGCGGCUCACUGGACUGGUAUUGACGCUGAGGUGCGAAAGCGUGGGGAGCAAACAGGAUUAGAUACCCAGUAGUCCCUGUCUCUUAUACA